UACGAAGGGGGCUAGCGUUGUUCGGAAUUACUGGGCGUAAAGGGCGCGUAGGCGGCCGAUUAAGUUAGAUGUGAAAGUCCUGGGCUCAACCUGGGGACUGCAUUUAAUACUGGUUGGCUUGAAUUCGGGAGAGGAUAGCGGAAUUCCCAGUGUAGAGGUGAAAUUCGUAGAUAUUGGGAAGAACACCGGUGGCGAAGGCGGCUAUCUGGACCGACAUUGACGCUGAGGCGCGAAGGCUAGGGGAGCAAACGGG
rnacentral:rRNA from 1 species